ACAGGCGUGGGAAACUCUACUGCUCUCGCGACAACUGGAAAACUCUCACCAUACGGCUGCGUGGAGCGAGGCUCGUGUCAUCGCGAGAUCGGCGCGGAGGCUGCACGGAUGGAUGUUUUACAGUGCCGAAACACUGUUUAUCCGCUCAUAAAUAACCUCCACGGGCGGAAUUGGCAAGUUAUUUUGACGUGGAAAAUUGAGAUUUCCCAGGCUCCGGUCUGAUAAGGUCCCAAGUGGUUAUUUUCAAUGAAAGAGACCCAUCUCAGGAGCUCAAUGAAGCAGCAUGUGCCGCCAAUUCAAGCAAUCACGACUAAACCACAAGUGUGCCGCACGUAAAUCCAGUGUUGAUGACUGCCUGUGCAUUUUGCCAAGAGAAAGACUGGUCUCCAAAG